rnacentral:rRNA from 1 species
AUUGAACGCUGGCGGCAGGCCUAACACAUGCAAGUCGAACGGUAACAGGAAGCAGCUUGCUGCUUCGCUGACGAGUGGCGGACGGGUGAGUAAUGUCUGGGAAACUGCCUGAUGGAGGGGGAUAACUACUGGAAACGGUAGCUAAUACCGCAUAACGUCGCAAGACCAAAGAGGGGGACCUUAGGGCCUCUUGCCAUCGGAUGUGCCCAGAUGGGAUUAGCUAGUAGGUGGGGUAACGGCUCACCUAGGCGACGAUCCCUAGCUGGUCUGAGAGGAUGACCAGCCACACUGGAACUGAGACACGGUCCAGACUCCUACGGGAGGCAGCAGUGGGGAAUAUUGCACAAUGGGCGCAAGCCUGAUGCAGCCAUGCCGCGUGUAUGAAGAAGGCCUUCGGAUUGUAAAGUACUUUCAGCGGGGAGGAAGGGAGUAAAGUUAAUACCUUUGCUCAUUGACGUUACCCGCAGAAGAAGCACCGGCUAACUCCGUG